GGAAUCUUCCACAAUGGGCGAAAGCCUGAUGGAGCGACACCGCGUGAGGGACGAAGGUCCUAGGAUUGUAAACCUCUAAAAGGGGGACGAUAAUGACGGUACACCUUGAAAAGCAACGGCUAACUCCGUGCCAGCAGCCGCGGUAAUACGGAGGGGCCGAGCGUUAUCCGGAAUCACUGGGCGUAAAGGCCGCGUAGGCGGUUUUUUAAGUCCGAUGUUAAAGACCGAGGCUCAACCUCGACACGGCGUUGGAUACUGACAAGCUUGACGGCUGGAGAGGCGAGUGGAAUUACCAGUGUAGCGGUGGAAUGCGUAGAUACUGGUAGGAACACCCAUUGCGAAGGCAGCUCGCUGGACAGCACGUGACGCUGAGGCGCGAAAGUGUGGGGAGCAAAC
rnacentral:rRNA from 1 species